GGAGAGGUGGCAGAGCGGUUGAUUGCACCGGUCUUGAAAACCGGAGACCCCUCACGGGGUUCGUGAGUUCGAAUCUCACCCUCUCCGCCA
rnacentral:tRNA from 1 species